rnacentral:rRNA from 1 species
GGGGAAUUUUGGACAAUGGGGGAAACCCUGAUCCAGCCAUUCCGCGUGAGUGAAGAAGGCCUUCGGGUUGUAAAGCUCUUUCGGCAGGAACGAAACGGUUCGCCCUAAUACGGUGGGCUAAUGACGGUACCUGAAGAAGAAGCACCGGCUAACUACGUGCCAGCAGCCGCGGUAAUACGUAGGGUGCGAGCGUUAAUCGGAAUUACUGGGCGUAAAGCGUGCGCAGGCGGUCCUAUAAGACAGAUGUGAAAUCCCCGGGCUUAACCUGGGAACUGCGUUUGUGACUGUAGAACUAGAGUGUGGCAGAGGGGGGUAGAAUUCCACGUGUAGCAGUGAAAUGCGUAGAGAUGUGGAGGAAUACCGAUGGCGAAGGCAGCCCCCUGGGUCAACACUGACGCUCAUGCACGAAAGCGUGGGGAGCAAAC